rnacentral:rRNA from 1 species
CGAUACCGUGAGGUGGAGCGAAUCACAAAACCCGGUCUCAGUUCAGAUUGCAGGCUGCAACUCGCCUGCAUGAAGUUGGAAUUGCUAGUAAUCGCGAAUCAGAAUGUCGCGGUGAAUACGUUCCCGGGCCUUGUACACACCGCCCGUCACACCAUGAGAGCCGAUAACACCCGAAGCCUGUGAGCUAACCGUAAGGGGGCAGCAGUCGAAGGUGGGGUUGGUGAUUGGGGUGAAGUCGUAACAAGGUACC